GUUAAUGUAGCUUAACAAGUAAAGCGAGGCACUGAAAAUGCCUAGAUGAGUAUCUCAUGCUCCAUAAACA
rnacentral:tRNA from 1 species